rnacentral:rRNA from 1 species
UUCGCAAUGCCCGAAAGGGUGACGAAGCGACGCCGCGUGGGUGAGGAAGGCCCUCGGGUUGUAAAGCCCUGUCAGGAGUUAAGAAAUGUAGGUACGCUAAUAUCGUAUCUAUUUGACAAAGGCUCCAAAGGAAGCCACGGCUAACUCUGUGCCAGCAGCCGCGGUAAUACAGAGGUGGCAAGCGUUGUUCGGAAUUAUUGGGCGUAAAGAGCACGUAGGUGGAUUUGUAAGUCAGAUGUGAAAGCCUUCUGUUCAACGGGAGAAUUGCAUCUGAAACUACAGACCUUGAGUAUAGGAGGGGAGAAUGGAACUUCUGGUGGAGCGGUGAAAUGCGUAGAUAUCAGAAGGAACGCCGGCGGCGAAAGCGAUUCUCUGGCCUAUUACUGACACUCAGUGUGCGAAAGCUAGGGGAGCAAACGGGAUUAGAUACCCCGGUAGUCCUAGCCGUAAACGAUGGGCACUAAGUAGAGGGGUUUU